rnacentral:lncRNA from 1 species
UUUGGCGCCGUUGCCGGGGAGGCAAAUCGAGAAGCAAGAACGAUCACGAAGAUCAAAUCGGAUUUUGGAUACUCGGAGUGAACGCACUCCGGUAGUAAGUUUUUAUUUUUAUUAAUUUUUUUAUUUUGAUUAUUUUUAGUUAGUAAUUUCAUAGUUAUUAUUAGUUAUUAUAAGUUUUUAUUAGUUAUUCUGAAAUUUGAAAUUCGAAAUUUAAAGUUUUCUAAAAAAGUAAAAAAAAUUAAAAAAAAUCAAAAAAUUCAAAAAUUUAAAUUCAAAAUUUGAAUUCUGUGAUUCGAAAUUUG